rnacentral:rRNA from 1 species
UACGUAGGGGGCAAGCGUUGUCCGGAAUCAUUGGGCGUAAAGCGCGUGUAGGCGGCUCGGUAAGUCUGCUGUGAAAGUCCAGGGCUCAACCCUGGGAUGCCGGUGGAUACUGUCGAGCUCGAGUCCGGAAGAGGCGAGUGGAAUUCCUGGUGUAGCGGUGAAAUGCGCAGAUAUCAGGAGGAACACCAAUGGCGAAGGCAGCUCGCUGGGGCGUGACUGACGCUGAGACGCGAAAGCGUGGGGAGCAAACAGG